rnacentral:rRNA from 1 species
CGUGCCAGCAGCCGCGGUAUACGGGAGUGGCAGCGUUAUCGGAAUCAUGGCGUAAGCGUCGCAGGCGCUGAAAGUCUGUCGUAAAGCGUGGAGCUAACUCCAUUUCAGCGAUGGAAACUACAAGGCUGAGUGUGGUAGGGGCAGAGGGAAUUCCCGGUGUAGCGGUGAAAUGCGUAGAUAUCGGGAAGAACACCAGUGGCGAAGGCGCUCUGCUGGGCCAUAACUGACGCUCAUGGACGAAAGCCAGGGGAGCGAAAGGGAUUAGAUACCCCUGUAGUCCUGGCCGUAAACGAUGAACACUAGGCGUCGGGGGAAUCGACCCCCUCGGUGUCGUAGCCAACGCGUUAAGUGUUCCGCCUGGGGAGUACGCACGCAAGUGUGAAACUCAAAGGAAUUGACGGGGGCCCGCACAAGCGGUGGAGUAUGUGGUUUAAUUCGAUGCAACGCGAAGAACCUUACCAGGGUUUGACAUCCUGCGAAUCUCCUGGAAACGGGAGAGUGCCUUCGGGAACGCAGAGACAGGUGGUGCAUGGCUGUCGUCAGCUCGUGUCGUGAGAUGUUGGGUUAAGUCCCGCAACGAGCGCAACCCACGUCUUUAGUUGCCAGCAUUCAGUUGGGCACUCUAGAGAGACCGCCGGUGAUAAACCGGAGGAAGGUGUGGAUGACGUCAAGUCAUCAUGCCCCUUACAUCCUGGGCUACACACGUACUACAAUGCUACGGACAAAGGGCAGCAAACUCGCGAGAGCAAGCAAAUCCCAUAAACCGUGGCUCAGUUCAGAUCGUAGGCUGCAACUCGCCUACGUGAAGGAGGAAUCGCUAGUAAUCGCAGGUCAGCAUACUGCGGUGAAUACGUUCCCGGGCCUUGUACACACCGCCCGUCACACCAUGGAAGUUAGCCACGCCCGAAGUCGUUACUCCAACCCUUGUGGAGGAGGACGC